rnacentral:lncRNA from 1 species
GCCUUGCAUUUAAUAACCCUCUAGGGCUAAGACAGCUUUGUGUGUAAGUCCACUCGGUGCCAUAUGGCAGUUUUCAAUUCCUUUAGCAACUCAAUUCUAGCUAGACUGCCCGCAAUGAUUCAUUCUUAAAGGAAGACCCCUUGGGGCUCAGUAAUGCCCCCUCCACUUACCUAGCUCCCACCGACCCCGCUCGGCAGGCGGCUCGGGCUCCACAAAGAGCUGUGGGAUUCCCCGCUCCCUCCGGGGCUCCUCUCCCCGCGACGGUCCCCUUCGCCAAUGAUCUGUCGCUGGAAAUCCCCCUCCCCUCCACGGAGAGGAGGGUCUCCCCGGCUGGCUGGAGCUCUUGCCUUUUUUUUUUUUUUCCACCCUCUCUUUACAUGCCUGACUCUGGUUCACGAUCUCUAGUAGGAAGGCUCAACGGAGAGGCGGCGGGAGGAAGGAAGCUAAGGCAUCCUUAAAAAGAACAAUAAUCUUCAGAGAUCUUCACCCCCUUCCCCAUCGCGGGUCCCCAUUCCCCUGCCGCCGCCGGCGGCGCCCAGACCAGAGAGGGCUGGGAUAGAAAAGGAAAAAAAAUCGAGCCGGGCUCAGCUCGCCGCGCGGAAGGAGCCGGGAAGGCGAGCGGCUCCAGCCGGGGGAGUUGUCGCUCGCUCGGGCUGCCCGCGGCGCGGCGGCCGGCGGGGGCGCAGGGCGGUGGGUGCUUGGUGGGUGUGUGUCUGUGGCGGAGCCGGGGAGAGGCUGGGCGCGGGAGGCGAGGCGGGGCGCUCGGGGGCGCCGGCUCGGGCGCGCACACCCGCCCGCGGCCACCCCGCCUCGCGCUCCGCCUCCUCCCGCGCUCCGCGCGCCCGCGGACUGGAGCGGCGGCCGCCGCCGCCGCCGCCUUCUCCUCCUCUUCCUGGGCGCCCGCAGCUCUCGAGAGAACUGUGCCAAGUUCCUCCUUGGAGAGGCAGCCAGAUGGACACCCAGAACUUUCCGUAUCUUCGUGUCGAGGAUGAAAAUCUGGUUAAAACAAAUGUAGACGUUGACAAGCACAAUCUACAAAAAGGAGAGAAAAGGAAAAGAAAUAACCUAUUGGUGGUCCUCAAAGGGAUGGAGAAUGAACCACCCCUUGUGUAAUUAUAUAUGACUAUAAAAGCGGGUGCAACCUACGGACUCUGUGAGAAAAGGAACAGCUCUUUACCUGGGUAACAUCAGGUACAAGACGCCAAUUUCCAUGAAUAAAGGUAAGCAUGAUUUUUAUUCA